rnacentral:rRNA from 1 species
AGGUUAGUAGACAUACUCAAAGAAAACCCAUACUCCCAACAAUUUAGGAGUUUGGGUGCACACAAGGACAACCUCGAUGAUUAUAGGAUAGACCUAAACACCGAUAAGAGGCUUGACCAAAGAAGAUAUAAUAGACCGGUGUCAUCUGAGGUUGCUGCAAUUUGGGUUGAGGGCACUGACCUAGCAAAAAGAUUUGACCGCAGGAUAACACUUUGUGGUAACAACAACGAAAGGCAUAGUAUACGUGUGACCUCAGGGGCAUAUGACCCGUUGUCUUAUCCAUUAUUCUAUCCAAUGGGGGAGCUAGGUUGGCAUCCGAAGCUACCCAAACGUAAUGUUUCUUGGGAGGUUGUA